GAUGAAGAACGCAGCGAAAUGCGAUAAGUAAUGUGAAUUGCAGAAUUCAGUGAAUCAUCGAAUCUUUGAACGCACAUUGCGCCCGCCAGCAUUCUGGCGGGCAUGCCUGUUCGAGCGUCAUUUCAACCCUCGAGCCCCCCCGGGGGCCUCGGUGUUGGGGGACGGCACACCAGCCGCCCCCGAAAUGCAGUGGCGACCCCGCCGCAGCCUCCCCUGCGUAGUAGCACACACCUCGCACCGGAGCGCGGAGGCGGUCACGCCGUAAAACGCCCAACUUUCUUAGAGUUGACCUCGGAUCAGGUAGGACUACCCGCUGAACUUAAGCAUAUCAAUAAGCGGAGGA
rnacentral:misc_RNA from 1 species